GUCCACGCCCUAAACGAUGUCAACUAGCUGUUGGGGCCUUCGGGCCUUGGUAGCGCAGCUAACGCGUGAAGUUGACCGCCUGGGGAGUACGGUCGCAAGAUUAAAACUCAAAGGAAUUGACGGGGACCCGCACAAGCGGUGGAUGAUGUGGAUUAAUUCGAUGCAACGCGAAAAACCUUACCUACCCUUGACAUGUCUGGAAUGCCGAAGAGAUUUGGCAGUGCUCGCAAGAGAACCGGAACACAGGUGCUGCAUGGCUGUCGUCAGCUCGUGUCGUGAGAUGUUGGGUUAAGUCCCGCAACGAGCGCAACCCUUGUCAUUAGUUGCUACGAAAGGGCACUCUAAUGAGACUGCCGGUGACAAACCGGAGGAAGGUGGGGAUGACGUCAAGUCCUCAUGGCCCUUAUGGGUAGGGCUUCACACGUCAUACAAUGGUCGGGACAGAGGGUCGCCAACCCGCGAGGGGGAGCCAAU
rnacentral:rRNA from 1 species